rnacentral:rRNA from 1 species
GGUCAAGUGAAGAAGCGCAUACGGUGGAUGCCUUGGCAGUCAGAGGCGAUGAAAGACGUGGUAGCCUGCGAAAAGCUUCGGGGAGUCGGCAAACAGACUUUGAUCCGGAGAUCUCUGAAUGGGGGAACCCACCUAGGAUAACCUAGGUAUCUUGUACUGAAUCCAUAGGUGCAAGAGGCGAACCAGGGGAACUGAAACAUCUAAGUACCCUGAGGAAAAGAAAUCAACCGAGAUUCCCUUAGUAGUGGCGAGCGAACGGGGAUUAGCCCUUAAGCUUCAUUGAUUUUAGCGGAACGCUCUGGAAAGUGCGGCCAUAGUGGGUGAUAGCCCCGUACGCGAAAGGAUCUUUGAAGUGAAAUCGAGUAGGACGGAGCACGAGAAACUUUGUCUGAACAUGGGGGGACCAUCCUCCAAGGCUAAAUACUACUGACUGACCGAUAGUGAACCAGUACCGUGAGGGAAAGGCGAAAAGAACCCCGGAGAGGGGAGUGAAAUAGAACCUGAAACCGUAUGCGUACAAGCAGUGGGAGCCUACUUGUUAGGUGACUGCGUACCUUUUGUAUAAUGGGUCAGCGACUUAUAUUCAGUGGCAAGCUUAACCGUAUAGGGUAGGCGUAGCGAAAGCGAGUCUUAAUAGGGCGUUUAGUCGCUGGGUAUAGACCCGAAACCGGGCGAUCUAUCCAUGAGCAGGUUGAAGGUUAGGUAACACUGACUGGAGGACCGAACCCACUCCCGUUGAAAAGGUAGGGGAUGACUUGUGGAUCGGAGUGAAAGGCUAAUCAAGCUCGGAGAUAGCUGGUUCUCCUCGAAAGCUAUUUAGGUAGCGCCUCAUGUAUCACUCUGGGGGGUAGAGCACUGUUUCGGCUAGGGGGUCAUCCCGACUUACCAAACCGAUGCAAACUCCGAAUACCCAGAAGUGCCGAGCAUGGGAGACACACGGCGGGUGCUAACGUCCGUCGUGAAAAGGGAAACAACCCAGACCGCCAGCUAAGGUCCCAAAGUUGUGGUUAAGUGGUAAACGAUGUGGGAAGGCUUAGACAGCUAGGAGGUUGGCUUAGAAGCAGCCAUCCUUUAAAGAAAGCGUAAUAGCUCACUAGUCGAGUCGGCCUGCGCGGAAGAUGUAACGGGGCUCAAACCACACACCGAAGCUGCGGGUGUCACGUAAGUGACGCGGUAGAGGAGCGUUCUGUAAGCCUGUGAAGGUGAGUUGAGAAGCUUGCUGGAGGUAUCAGAAGUGCGAAUGCUGACAUGAGUAACGACAAUGGGUGUGAAAAACACCCACGCCGAAAGACCAAGGGUUCCUGCGCAACGUUAAUCGACGCAGGGUUAGUCGGUUCCUAAGGCGAGGCUGAAAAGCGUAGUCGAUGGGAAACAGGUUAAUAUUCCUGUACUUCUGGUUACUGCGAUGGAGGGACGGAGAAGGCUAGGCCAGCUUGGCGUUGGUUGUCCAAGUUUAAGGUGGUAGGCUGAAAUCUUAGGUAAAUCCGGGGUUUCAAGGCCGAGAGCUGAUGACGAGUCGUCUUUUAGAUGACGAAGUGGUUGAUGCCAUGCUUCCAAGAAAAGCUUCUAAGCUUCAGGUAACCAGGAACCGUACCCCAAACCGACACAGGUGGUCGGGUAGAGAAUACCAAGGCGCUUGAGAGAACUCGGGUGAAGGAACUAGGCAAAAUGGCACCGUAACUUCGGGAGAAGGUGCGCCGGCUAGGGUGAAGGAUUUACUCCGUAAGCUCUGGCUGGUCGAAGAUACCAGGCCGCUGCGACUGUUUAUUAAAAACACAGCACUCUGCAAACACGAAAGUGGACGUAUAGGGUGUGACGCCUGCCCGGUGCCGGAAGGUUAAUUGAUGGGGUUAGCGCAAGCGAAGCUCUUGAUCGAAGCCCCGGUAAACGGCGGCCGUAACUAUAACGGUCCUAAGGUAGCGAAAUUCCUUGUCGGGUAAGUUCCGACCUGCACGAAUGGCGUAACGAUGGCGGCGCUGUCUCCACCCGAGACUCAGUGAAAUUGAAAUCGCUGUGAAGAUGCAGUGUAUCCGCGGCUAGACGGAAAGACCCCGUGAACCUUUACUGUAGCUUUGCACUGGACUUUGAGCCUGCUUGUGUAGGAUAGGUGGGAGGCUUUGAAGCGUGGACGCCAGUUCGCGUGGAGCCAUCCUUGAAAUACCACCCUGGCAUGCUUGAGGUUCUAACUCUGGUCCGUGAUCCGGAUCGAGGACAGUGUAUGGUGGGCAGUUUGACUGGGGCGGUCUCCUCCUAAAGAGUAACGGAGGAGUACGAAG